GACGAACGCUGGCGGCGUGCUUAACACAUGCAAGUCGAACGGAAAGGCCCUGCUUUUGUGGGGUGCUCGAGUGGCGAACGGGUGAGUAACACGUGAGUAACCUGCCCUUGACUUUGGGAGAACUUCAGGAAACUGGGGCUAAUACCGGAUAUGAGCUCCUGCUGCAUGGUGGGGGUUGGAAAGUUUCGGCGGUUGGGGAUGGACUCGCGGCUUAUCAGCUUGUGGGUGGGGUAGUGGCUUACCAAGGCUUUGACGGGUAGCCGGCCUGAGAGGGUGACCGGCCACAUUGGGACUGAGAUACGGCCCAGACUCCUACGGGAGGCAGCAGUGGGGAAUAUUGCACAAUGGGCGGAAGCCUGAUGCAGCAACGCCGCGUGCGGGAUGACGGCCUUCGGGUUGUAAACCGCUUUCGCCUGUGACGAAGCGUGAGUGACGGUAAUGGGUAAAGAAGCACCGGCUAACUACGUG
rnacentral:rRNA from 1 species